rnacentral:rRNA from 1 species
AUUGAACGCUGGCGGCAUGCUUUACACAUGCAAGUCGAACGGCAGCGCGGGCUUCGGCUUGGCGGCGAGUGGCGAACGGGUGAGUAAUGCAUCGGAACGUGCCCAGUAGUGGGGGAUAGUCCGGCGAAAGCCGGAUUAAUACCGCAUACGACCUGAGGGUGAAAGCGGGGGACCGAAAGGCCUCGCGCUAUUGUAGCGGGCGAUGUCGGAUUCGCUAGUCGGUGGGGUAAAGGCUUUACAAGGCUACUAGCCGUAGCUGAUCUGCGAGGACGACCAGCCACACUGGGAUUGAGCCGCCCCCUAGACUCCUACGGGCGCCUGCAGUGGGGACUUUUGGUCGAUCGAUGCUACCCUGUUCCAGCCAUCCCUCGCGCCGUAAGGCGACCUUCGGGUUGUAGUCCCUUUUUGUUCGGGAAGAAUUCCUCUGGGCUGAUACCGCGGGCGGAUGACGUUACCGGAAGAAUAAGCACCGGCUAGCUACGUG